rnacentral:rRNA from 1 species
UCCCAUCAAGCCAAGUUCCCGGAGGAGAUCACCCAGCUCGUUAUGCUAGAGCACUUUUUCAAUGUGCUCCCCAACGAGAAGGCGACGACGCAUUUGUAUGUCAAUCUAUAUCAUCUUUCAAUGCCAUUGACUGCGCCUACCAUGGUGACCAUGGGUAAUGGGGAAUCACGGUUCAAUUCCGUACAGGGACCCUGACAAACGGCUACCACAUGCAAGGAAGGCAGCAGGCGUGCAAAUGACCCACUCACGACGCGGGAAGGUAGUGACGA